UACGUAGGGUGCAAGCGUUGUCCGGAAUCACUGGGCGUAAAGGGCGCGUAGGCGGCUCAUGAAGGCUGUGGUGAAAGUCCGGGGCUCAACCUCGGAUCGGCCGUGGCGACUCGUGGGCUGGAGCACUGUAGAGGCGGGUGGAAUUCCGGGUGUAGCGGUGGAAUGCGUAGAGAUCCGGAAGAACACCAGUGGCGAAGGCGGCCCGCUGGGCAGUGGCUGACGCCGAGGCGCGACAGCGUGGGGAGCAAACAGG
rnacentral:rRNA from 1 species